AUGGCUCUUGAUGCUUAUAGUAGAGAGUUUGAGAACCUCGCCUGCUAUGCUAUGGAGGAGGUGUCCAUGAACGCCAAGAAGCAGGCUAGGUUCCGGAAGGGUCUCAAUCCCAAGUUGCGUCAUGAUCUCCACCUGCAUCAUUGUGAUACUUUCCAGGCACUUGUGAACAAGGCCAUUAAUGCAGAGACAGCUCAGUUCACUUACGAGGAGUCUUGUAAGCACACCCGUGAUAUGGGUUCUUCCUCCGGUUCUAGUUCUCAGAAUCGCCGGAUUUGGAUUUCGAACUCUGCUCUUCCACCCGGUUUAACACCGAGGCCAUCUUAUGUGGCGCCUCACCCGAUUCCGUUUUAUGCUCCACCCAGGGCUAUUGGUGGACCGCCUGCAGAUGCGGGUCCACGUCCUACCUCCAAGAUUUGUUACAAGUGCAGAGAGCCAGGCUACAUUGCCCGUAUUUGCACUCAGACCAGUGUUGCUCCACCCCAGCCCAAGAAGUCUGUUGGCUAUGGUAAGCCAUCACAUAAGAUGAUUAGUGCCAAAUCAGAUCCCACUAAAUGUGGACGUGUGCAUCACGUCUUAGCUAAAGAUGCUCAUGAUGACAUAGAUGUCGUUCUUGGUACACUCCUUGUCAACUGUCAUCCAACAUCGGUUCUAUUCGAUACUGGAGCGUCUCAUUCCUUCAUUUCCAAAAGCUAUGGCUGCUUGCACGACAUGUCAUUUUGUGAUAUGCCAUCCCCACUACUCAUUCAAACUCCUGGAUCCAAAUGGCAAACUUCUAGGAUAAGUUAUGGCAAUGAAAUCCAUGUUGACAGACUUGUAUUCCUUGCUUCCUUGAUAUCUCUCAAGUCUUGGGAUAUUAACAUCAUCUUGGGUAUGGACUGGAUGACAGCUCAUCAUGCCAAGAUUGAUUGUUUCACCAGGUCUGUUCAGCUUACAGACCCAUCUGGCAAGAUAGUCACUGUCUCCACUAGAGUUGCAAAGCGCCAACUCUAUUCUCUUAAUGCUAGCCCUCUUCCAGACCUUGAAGAUAUCCCGAUAGUCCGUGACUUUCCGGAUGUCUUUCCAGAGGAACUGCCAGGCUUUCCACCUGACAGAGAUCUAGAGUUUGUCAUAGAUCUUAUCCCAGGAACCGCUCGAAUUUCUAGGAAACCUUACAAGAUGGCACCCUUAGAACUAGACGAGCUUAAGAAACAACUUGAUGAGUCCUUUCAAAAGGGUUUCAUCCGUCCUAGUUCUUCUCCUUGGGCUUGCCCCGUCCUCUUCGUCAAGAAGAAGGAUGGUACGGACCGGAUGGUUGUAGAUUAUCGUCCCGUUAAUUUGGUCAGAUAA
rnacentral:rRNA from 1 species